GUUAAAUGACGCAGUCGGCAAAAAGGUGAGAAUAUUUUUUUAAUUCGUACUUUUUAUUUAUUUAUAAAAUAUUGCUUAUUUUUAUUUUU
rnacentral:ribozyme from 1 species